GACGAACGCUGGCGGCGUGCUUAACACAUGCAAGUCGAACGGAAAGGCCCUGCUUUUGUGGGGUGCUCGAGUGGCGAACGGGUGAGUAACACGUGAGUAACCUGCCCUUGACUUUGGGAUAACUUCAGGAAACUGGGGCUAAUACCGGAUAGGAGCUCCUGCUGCAUGGUGGGGGUUGGAUAGUUUCGGCGGUUGGGGAUGGACUCGCGGCUUAUCAGCUUGUUGGUGGGGUAGUGGCUUACCAAGGCUUUGACGGGUAGCCGGCCUGAGAGGGUGACCGGCCACAUUGGGACUGAGCUACGGCACAGACUCCUACGGGACGUAGCAGUGGGGAAGAGUGCACAAUGGGCGGAAGCCUGAUGCAGCAACGCCGCGUGCGGGAAGACGGCAUUCGGGUUGUAAACCGCUUUCGCCUGUGACGAAGCGUGAGUGACGGUAAUGGGUAAAGAAGCACCGGCUAACUACGUG
rnacentral:rRNA from 1 species